UGUUUUUAUUUUUUGGGCGGUUUUGUGGUUGCAGGCUUGCUGGCCUGGAUAUUUGAUGUUCUGAAGAUUCCCAAAAAAAUCAUAGGUUUUGAUCAGUUCCUGAAGUUCUUCGUCACUACCACUGAUGUACUCAGGUGUGGGAGAACCUCUCUCUCGCCCUCUGUGAAACGGCCAAGCUGCAUAACCAGCAAAUACACAUCAGGUCCAGGCUGAGCGAGCUCUUUGCACUUCUUUAUCUGUUCUUCCUGG